GCCUGGCUGCGAGGCCCUUCCUCUUUUCAUGACUCUGGGAGGCUCUGGACUAAACAAGAGCAGCGUCUACAGUGACUGCCGUGGGCUGCUGCACCUGAGUCCAGGAUCCCACUUGUUUCUACCCCCUGCGCAUCCCAGGCCUUUCUUCACCUCCAGAAGCAGUGGUUUCGGAGCUGCCUAUUUCUGUCUAAAAGUGGCGUCUGCAGUAGCCCAUGUUGUGCUGCUUCUGCCAAUGGCCAGGAUGGGCGUGGGCAGGGACUCCUGAUGGGUGGACGUGACGGGGCCACCUUAGGAAGUCCACCAGCCCCUUCCAAGUGUUCAUUGUUGGACAAGGCUUUUUUUUUUUUUUUUGGAAAGAAACCUGGCUAGAGAGGGGGAGAGUGUGGGGCCCACAGUGGAAAAGCCUUGGCCGGGCAGCCAGGCCUCUCUGCUGGGCCCACGUUUGCUCUCUUGAUGCCUCAGACCCCAGGAAGCCCAGAGACCACAGGUCGGCUCCAAGUUCAUGUUUCUCCCUUUUCCUUAGACAUGACAUCCUCGGAAACAUCUCGUAAUCAGCAGCUUUCGGAAGUAAAUCAUUGUGAGCUGGAAGGACGGGAAACAUAUCUGGGGAGCUGGGGUUGGGGGUGGAGAGCCUCUUGGGGGGCAGAGGUGGGUUGGGCACCACUCCACAACUGGGGAUGAAAUAAAGAGAGACAGAACUCACAUGCAUAUGAGUGGCUUUUCCAUGUCACCUGUCUUCUUGGGAGAGGCCUAGACAAUGCAGCUGUGGAUGUGAUUAAUGAGCCACCGGCCACACCUGGCACAGCGGUGCAGGUGGAAGCCAGGGAACUUCCCUUUCUCCCUGUCAGUUAUCCUGCGCUGUGCUGGGAACACGCUCUGGUUUCUGCAGAGGAGAUAAGCAAGUCCUGGGGAGAACAUGGACGUUUGGCAGCCAGCGAGAAAGAAAGGAGGGGAAGGCCUGGAGAUUGGGGUGACAGCCCUUAUUGGUGUCACUGAAACGUGUGUGGUUAAUCUCAGUCCUUGGGAUCCACAUAAAACCACGUGAAUGUGCUUCUCAUCUAAUAAAUUAUAUAUGAAGGAUGCUGAAAGCAGGGCCUUGGAGAGAGAUGUGUGUACCCGUGUUCACAGUUCACAGCAGCAUUCCUCCAGUUACCAAGAGGUGGAAGCAACCCAAAGUCCAUCGAUGGAAAAAUGAAGCCCCGUCUCUGCUGCAGGUGGAGUUUGCAGCCAGCAGGA
rnacentral:lncRNA from 1 species